rnacentral:lncRNA from 1 species
UUUUUUACAUAAUAUACCGUACACAUGGUGUUUAAAGUUCUACUGCUCGAUAUUGGAAAACAAAAAUUAAAUCAAAAAUCAAAAUAACGAGUUUGCAGUUGCAUGUUGACAUUGUUGUUGUUCUAUUGAUAUGCUAAUCAAAUACCACGUCAUAAAUUAUUUACCACACAGUCAUGCCGAAUCCUUGAAAUAGUUCCUAUUUAAGUGUUGGCAGAAUGUAAGUGAAAAACAUCCUAAAUUUUACAUAAUUUAUAUUGCUUGAUAUAGUCAUCAUGGUCAUGUAAUGUUUUUUUUUUACAAAAAUGUACCAUGUUUCAUUGUUUGUACUCUCAGUCAUUGUUAAUUGUCAGGUCAGUUGUAAAUUGUUGUAUUGCACAUGGUAAGCAUUUUUUCUCAAUUUAUAAAGGCACCCAAAGGUGUGGUAUAUGAUUGCCAAUGGGACAACUCUCCACAACUUGUGGCACAAGAGACCAAAUGACACAGAAAUUAACAUUUCUAUAGGCAGUGAUAGGUCAAUGUACAGCCUACAAGAAUGAGCAAAGCCCAUAGUGCAGUCAGCUAUAAAAGGCCCAGAAAUGACAAAUAUAUAACAAUUCAAGCGAGAAAACUUACUUACUUAUUUGUACGAAAAAAAAACACCAAAAAUAAUAAAUAUGUAUUAAACAUGUCAUCAACAAACGACAACCACUGAAUUGCUAUUCUCCUGAUUUGAGACAUGCACAUACAUACAGAAUGUGGCGGGGUUAAACAUGUUAGCUGGAUACCUACCGUCCCCUAACCUGGGACAGUGGUGCAACAAUACAACACCAUAACAAACUAUAAGAAUCAAUUGAAAUAGACCUAAUAUAUUGUAAGUAAAGUUAGUAAAGAAAUCUUUAUUUACAGUUUGGUUGCAUAUAUAUAUAAAUAUUAAUAGCAAGGAACAUUCAUGCUUUUAAUUAGAGCUCUUUAAGGAUUAUGUACAUUUUUGCUAACCAUGGAAAUUUCCGAGAAAGUCCAGCCUUUCCUUUAUACUGUACAUUUUGUAAUAUUUGACCAUUCUAUAUACAUAACAGGCUAUUAUUUGAACUUGGAAUUAUUUUUAAUUAUGGAAUUUGCUUGUUUUCUUGUUAUUGAAAUUUUUAAUAAAUUCCAUGUUUAUUGUGUACUGAAAUGUUCUGUGCUGCGCACAAGGCUUUCUAUUUCAAAGAAAAUAGUUUAUUUUCAAUAGAAUGUACUGUGCCGCGCACAACACUAUCUAACCAAAAUACAUUUUAUGGAAAGUGUUAUUCACCGCUCAAAAGAUUAUAAUACCAAAUAAACAUGGAAUUAAUUAAAAAUUUUAAACACAAGAAAUUAUGCAAAUUCCAUAAUUAAAAAUAAUUCCAAGUUCAAAUAAUAGCCUGUUACAUGUACAUUUUUUUGUACAUGUACAAUGUAUGCUUGAUAGAUAGAGCAUAAUUGCAUACCUUCUAACAUGUAGCAAUAAUUUCCUUUGUAUGACAAGUUUAUAAAUCAAAUUCAUGAAAUUAUUGGUUACAACAAAUGUAAAUAUGGGCCAAUUCAAAUACAUCUUCUAAUGUGCAUUCAACUUUAGUAACUCACCAGGAGGAUUCUUGGAAUGUAAAGGUUAGUCAGGCCUUUUUGUAAAUAACGGACAAUUGCAUCCCAUUAUCCCUAUUUUCUAUGGCAUGCAAUAAUUUAAAACAAUAAAUAAUGUACAUGUAUCUGCGUUGAAAGGAGUUUUCCCUUGGGUAACAUGCAUAUGUGCAAAAUGGCACAUCUCUAAUACAUGUAUUCAUUAUUUUGGCUGUUUUGACAUUUUUGAUAUUAUUGAACUAAAAACAUUCCAAUUUUUUUUCUUCAAACCUGUAGAUUUUGAGUGUUGCAGAUGCUGUACAUUAUGCAGAGGUAUGUGAAAUGGAAAGAAAGAGAUAUAUGAACAUACAGUGACUGUUUUGAAUUUAAGGUGUACCGGUAAGUACAUUGUAUAUAUAUAUAUAAUAUAAUUAUUAAAAAAAUGAUAUAUCAGCUUAUCAGUGAAUGU